rnacentral:rRNA from 1 species
GACGAACGCUGGCGGCGUGCCUAAUACAUGCAAGUCGAACGAGUGGCGGACGGGUGAGUAAUGUCUGGGAAACUGCCUGCUGGAGGGGGAUAACUACUGGAAACGGUAGCUAAUACCGCAUACCAUCAGAUGUGCCCAGAUGGGAUUAGCUAGUUGGUGGGGUAACGGCUCACCAAGGCGACGAUCCCUAGCUGGUCUGAGGGGAUGACCAGCCACACUGGAACGGAGACACGGUCCAGACCCCGACGAGAGGCAGCGGUGGGGAAUAUGGCACAAUGGGCGCAAGCCUGAUGCAGCCAGGCCGCGUGUAUGAUGAAGGCCUGCGGGUUUUAAAGUACUUUCAGCGGGGAGGCGUUACCCGCAGAGGAAGCACCGGCUAACUCCGUGCCAGCAGCCGCGGUAAUAC